rnacentral:lncRNA from 1 species
UGCGAUUUGAAUUCAUACUUGUAAUCUUUUUCACUUUCUUUUACUUUGUCUUAGCGGUAUAUAGAAAGAGUAUUAAAAGAUACUGAUCAUGCUUUUAAGUUGUUUUUGUGACUAGUUAAUAAUUAUUGAUAUGUUUACUCUUAGGUGGUGGUAGAGAAGCUGGAACGUCAUUUUGAAACCUCAUAUAGGCAGGUGUAAGAAAUUGAAGAAAAACAAAGAUGAUAAUGUUAGCAAACGUAUGCUUGACAAAGCUGGAAAAUUGACAUCAAGAAAAAUUGACAUGAAAGUUGUACGUGACUUGAUUUCCAUGAGCAUGACCACUACAACAUUUUAGGCCUACCGCAACGUCUAAAUUUUGGGAUGUAAAAAAACCGUUGUGGUAGGAUAUAUAAAAUCCCAAAAGAACGCAGCUCGAAAACAUAAAAUCCCAAAUUGAUUCUUGUUCUCAUAUUAA